GGACUCGCCCGGGACUGCCGCAGCCUGGAGAUUCAUCUAGAAAGAAUAUAACAAGCCUCCUUCUCCCUGGUGCCCAUGUUACUCCCUGUUGCUACUCUUUCCGAGCCUUCAGUUCCCUGGGUGGUACCCUCAAGUGUGAAAGAGGGAGUGCCCCUUGGAAGCUGGGGAACGAUUUAGGCCCAGGAGAAAAUGGAAGCAAAUCCAACAACCGGUGAGCUGUUAAAGAGGCCAUGCGCCUGGUAGCAAGAGCUCUGGAUCAAACGGCAUAACAUGCGUUUGGACAUGUAAGGAUUUCAGCGGUUCCUGCAAAGCAAACUUCUCUGGAGGAGCCCGAGAGACCUCUUCUGUACAGAAUAGCCUUACACCCCAUAGGGCAGUCUGUCAGCAAUGCAUUUGAAAGGGGAGCACACAGACUCCAUGUAAACUGCCCAAUGCUUCCCAGAAGGCUGGCGGCCCCUGCAUCGCUCUGAACUGAAGAGGAGCUGAAGUCACAGAAAGCCAGCCACUACUCGAUUGCCCAAGAAGCAGUCGUCGCACUGGCCCAGCUUCACAGCGGCUCUCGAGUGCUGAGAAAACCCACUGGAAGGGCUUCCUUUCCCUACUCUGCACAUGAGAAUAGCCAUUCCUGUGUCAGUUUUGCUUCUUUCUGGGCUCUCUGAUUAGGAUUUAUUUCCUUAGCUAGAGAAAAUAAAGGGACCUUACAAGGCCUAAUUAGAGCGACUCCUCUCUGAUGUAUUCAAGACACCCUGCUGAAUUGGACUGGCAAGUCCCUGUGUAUUGUUAUUAUUGUUGUUUUAAAGAAGCCAUUUCUGACCAGGGUGGCUGAAGGAGACGCCCUUUGUCGGCCUCUCAUGGUCCUGGCCCUCGCCAAGGGAACUGUUCC
rnacentral:lncRNA from 1 species